rnacentral:rRNA from 1 species
GACAGAGGGUGCAACCGUUAUCCGGAUUCACUGGGUUUAAAGGGUGCGUAGGUGGGCUAGUAAGUCAGUGGUGAAAUCUCCGGGCUUAACCCGGAAACUGCCAUUGAUACUAUUAGUCUUGAAUACCAUGGAGGUGAGCGGAAUAUGUCAUGUAGCGGUGAAAUGCUUAGAUAUGACAUAGAACACCAAUUGCGAAGGCAGCUCGCUACGCGGUUAUUGACACUGAGGCACGAAAGCGUGGGGAUCAAACAGG